GCCCUUGUAGCUCAGCGGACAGAGCGACCGCCUCCGGAGCGGUAGGCCGCGGGUUCGAACCCCGCCAAGGGCAC
rnacentral:tRNA from 1 species